GAGGGGGCUUAGUGGUGGGGUGACUGCGUACCUUUUGUAUAAUGGGUCAGCGACUUAUAUUCUGUAGCAAGGUUAACCGAAUAGGGGAGCCGGAGGGAAACCGAGUCUUAACCGGGCGUUAAGUUGCAGGGUAUAGACCCGAAACCCGGUGAUCUAGCCAUGGGCAGGUUGAAGGUUGGGUAACACUAACUGGAGGACCGAACCGACUAAUGUUGAAAAAUUAGCGGAUGACCUGUGGCUGGGGGUGAAAGGCCAAUCAAACCGGGAGAUAGCUGGUUCUCCCCGAAAGCUAUUUAGGUAGCGCCUCGUGAACUCAUCUCCGGGGGUAGAGCACUGUUUCGGCUAGGGGGCCAUCCCGGCUUACCAACCCGAUGCAAACUGCGAAUACCGGAGAAUGUUAUCACGGGAGACACACGGCGGGUGCUAACGUCCGUCGUGAAGAGGGAAACAACCCAGACCGCCAGCUAAGGUCCCAAAGUCAUGGUUAAGUGGGAAACGAUGUGGGAAGGCCCAGACAGCCAGGAUGUUGGCUUAGAAGCAGCCAUCAUUUAAAGAAAGCGUAAUAGCUCACUGGUCGAGUCGGCCUGCGCGGAAGAUGUAACGGGGCUAAACCAUGCACCGAAGCUGCGGCAGCGACACUCAGGUGUUGUUGGGUAGGGGAGCGUUCUGUAAGCCUGCGAAGGUGGCCUGUGAGGGUUGCUGGAGGUAUCAGAAGUGCGAAUGCUGACAUAAGUAACGAUAAAGCGGGUGAAAAGCCCGCUCGCCGGAAGACCAAGGGUUCCUGUCCAACGUUAAUCGGGGCAGGGUGAGUCGACCCCUAAGGCGAGGCCGAAAGGCGUAGUCGAUGGGAAACGGGUUAAUAUUCCCGUACUUGGUGUUACUGCGAAGGGGGGACGGAGAAGGCUAUGUUGGCCGGGCGACGGUUGUCCCGGUUUAAGCGUGUAGGUGUGUGUUCCAGGUAAAUCCGGUUCACUUUAACACUGAGGCGUGAUGACGAGGCACUACGGUGCUGAAGCAACAAAUGCCCUGCUUCCAGGAAAAGCCUCUAAGCAUCAGGUAACAUCAAAUCGUACCCCAAACCGACACAGGUGGUCAGGUAGAGAAUACCAAGGCGCUUGAGAGAACUCGGGUGAAGGAACUAGGCAAAAUGGUGCCGUAACUUCGGGAGAAGGCACGCUGACACGUAGGUGAAGUGAUUUACUCAUGGAGCUGAAGUCAGUCGAAGAUACCAGCUGGCUGCAACUGUUUAUUAAAAACACAGCACUGUGCAAACACGAAAGUGGACGUAUACGGUGUGACGCCUGCCCGGUGCCGGAAGGUUAAUUGAUGGGGUCAGCGCAAGCGAAGCUCCUGAUCGAAGCCCCGGUAAACGGCGGCCGUAACUAUAACGGUCCUAAGGUAGCGAAAUUCCUUGUCGGGUAAGUUCCGACCUGCACGAAUGGCGUAAUGAUGGCCAGGCUGUCUCCACCCGAGACUCAGUGAAAUUGAACUCGCUGUGAAGAUGCAGUGUACCCGCGGCAAGACGGAAAGACCCCGUGAACCUUUACUAUAGCUUGACACUGAACAUUGAGCCUUGAUGUGUAGGAUAGGUGGGAGGCUUUGAAGUGUGGACGCCAGUCUGCAUGGAGCCGGCCUUGAAAUACCACCCUUUAAUGUUUGAUGUUCUAACGUGGACCCGUGAUCCGGGUUGCGGACAGUGUCUGGUGGGUAGUUUGACUGGGGCGGUCUCCUCCUAAAGAGUAACGGAGGAGCACGAAGGUUGGCUAAUCCUGGUCGGACAUCAGGAGGUUAGUGCAAUGGCAUAAGCCAGCUUGACUGCGAGCGUGACGGCGCGAGCAGGUGCGAAAGCAGGUCAUAGUGAUCCGGUGGUUCUGAAUGGAAGGGCCAUCGCUCAACGGAUAAAAGGUACUCCGGGGAUAACAGGCUGAUACCGCCCAAGAGUUCAUAUCGACGGCGGUGUUUGGCACCUCGAUGUCGGCUCAUCACAUCCUGGGGCUGAAGUAGGUCCCAAGGGUAUGGCUGUUCGCCAUUUAAAGUGGUACGCGAGCUGGGUUUAGAACGUCGUGAGACAGUUCGGUCCCUAUCUGCCGUGGGCGCUGGAGAACUGAGGGGGGCUGCUCCUAGUACGAGAGGACCGGAGUGGACGCAUCACUGGUGUUCGGGUUGUCAUGCCAAUGGCACUGCCCGGUAGCUAAAUGCGGAAGAGAUAAGUGCUGAAAGCAUCUAAGCACGAAACUUGCCCCGAGAUGAGUUCUCCCUGAGACUUUAGGUCUCCUGAAGGAACGUUGAAGACGACGACGUUGAUAGGCCGGGUGUGUAAGCGCAGCGAUGCGUUGAGCUAACCGGUACUAAUGAACCGUGAGGCUUAACCUUACA
rnacentral:rRNA from 1 species